CCUACAGGUGGCAGCAGUGAGGAAUAUUGGUCAAUGGGCGCAAGCCUGAACCAGCCAUCCCGCGUGAAGGAAGACUGCCCUAUGGGUUGUAAACUUCUUUUCCGGUGGAAUAAAAUCCCGAACGUGUUCGGGACUGAAGGUACACUGGGAAUAAGCAUCGGCUAACUCCGUGCCAGCAGCCGCGGUAAUACGGAGGAUGCGAGCGUUAUCCGGAUUUAUUGGGUUUAAAGGGUGCGUAGGCGGAUUAAUAAGUCAGUGGUGAAACCCUGCAGCUUAACGUGAGAACUGCCAUUGAUACUGUUAGGCUUGAAUACGGUCAAGGUAGGCGGAAUGUGUAAUGUAGCGGUGAAAUGCUUAGAUAUUACACAGAACACCGAUUGCGAAGGCAGCUUACUGGGCCAUUACUGACGCUGAUGCACGAAAGCGUGGGUAGCGAACA
rnacentral:rRNA from 1 species